rnacentral:lncRNA from 1 species
UUACAGCGUGUACUGGUGAGCAAGCUAAGAAAAUGACUUCGUCUUGGUAUACUUUGGAAGCUAAUAGCGAGGAGGAUGAUGAAGAAUUUGAAUUCUAAAACAAUCAAGACUUUUACCCAAAAUCUCUAAUUCCUUCACAAGGUUCAAAUGUGGUAGAAAGACUUCUCAUGAAUUCUAUUUCAGCUUUUACUUCCCUAUUUAACAAACAGGAAUUCAAGAUUUUGUCUUGUUACUCAUGAAAUGCUUUAUCUAAACCAACAGGAAGAAUUAUAUUGUGAGAAAUAGCUACAGAUAAAUAAUACCUGCUUUGAACUAUGUACAUACAUACUCUAAUAUAAAAUUCCAUUUUGAACUGAAGGAUAAAACAAAAAAAAAAACAAAAAAAAAAUUGGAAACUUUUGCAGAAAUCGUGUGUAGUGUCAUUACUUUUUUAAGCUUUAGCAAUAAAACAAAUACAAAUGACA